rnacentral:rRNA from 1 species
GUACACUCCUGCGGGAGGCAGCAGUGGGGAAUUUUGGACAAUGGGGGCAACCCUGAUCCAGCAAUGCCGCGUGAGUGAAGAAGGCCUUCGGGUUGUAAAGCUCUUUUGUCAGGGAAGAAACGGUGGUGGCGAAUAACUACUACUAAUGACGGUACCUGAAGAAUAAGCACCGGCUAACUACGUGCCAGCAGCCGCGGUAAUACGUAGGGUGCAAGCGUUAAUCGGAAUUACUGGGCGUAAAGCGUGCGCAGGCGGUUGUGUAAGUCAGAUGUGAAAUCCCCGGGCUCAACCUGGGAAUUGCAUUUGAGACUGCACGGCUAGAGUGUGUCAGAGGGGGGUAGAAUUCCACGUGUAGCAGUGAAAUGCGUAGAUAUGUGGAGGAAUACCGAUGGCGAAGGCAGCCCCCUGGGAUAACACUGACGCUCAUGCACGAAAGCGUGGGGAGCAAACAGGAUUAGAAACCCCAGUAGUCCC